CGAAACCUCUGCGAUGCUCGAAAGCGUGACAGGGGAAGUCUGAGUGGCGAAAACUUAGUUUCCGUCUUUUGCCAAGUGUAAGCAUCUUGGAGAAUAAGGGUGUGGGACAAGACUGGUGGCAGCCGCCGCGGUAACACCAGCGCCUCGAGUGGUACCCACAAAUAUUGGGCCUAAACCGUCCGUAGCUGGACCUCUAAUUCCGCUGUGAAAUGUUGGGGCUCAACCCUAUCUCGUACAAUGGAUACUGUUGGUCUUGGGAACGAGGGAGGGUCAGGUUACUUCCAGGGUAGGAGUAAAAUCCGUUGAGCCUGGAAGGACCACCAGUAGGCGAACGCGCCGAUCCAAAACGUGUCCGACGGUGAGGAACGAAAGCUGGGGAAGCGAACUGGAUUACAUACCCCGGUAGUCCCAGCUGUAAAUGAUGCAAACUGUGGUGUUACACAUGACUAAUCAUGUGUACUGCUGUAACGCAUGUGUUAAGUCUGCCGCCUGGGGAGUACGAUCGCAUGAUUUUAACUUAAAGGAAUUGGCGAGGGAGCAC
rnacentral:rRNA from 1 species